UACGUAGGAGGCGAGCGUUGUCCGGAUUUACUGGGUGUAAAGGGUCCGCAGGCGGGUAUUUAAGUCGGUGGUGAAAUCCUUCAGCUUAACUGAAGAACUGCCUCCGAUACUGAAUAUCUUGAAUACGGGAGAGGGUGACGGAAUUCCAGGUGUAGCGGUGAAAUGCUUAGAUAUCUGGAAGAACACCGGUUGCGAAGGCUGUUGCCUGGCCCGUUAUUGACGCUCAUGGACGAAAGCGUGGGGAUCAAACAGG
rnacentral:rRNA from 1 species